GUUUUAAUAGUUUAAAAUAAAAACAAUGGUUUUGUAAAUCAUUAAUAGGAAAUUCCUUUAAAACU
rnacentral:tRNA from 1 species